rnacentral:rRNA from 1 species
CACGUAGGGUGCGAGCGUUGUCCGGAAUUAUUGGGCGUAAAGAGCUCGUAGGCGGUCUGUCGCGUCUGCUGUGAAAACUCAGGGCUUAACCCUGAGCUUGCAGUGGGUACGGGCAGACUAGAGUUCGGUAGGGGAGACUGGAAUUCCUGGUGUAGCGGUGAAAUGCGCAGAUAUCAGGAGGAACACCGAUGGCGAAGGCAGGUCUCUGGGCCGAUACUGACGGCUGAGGAGCGAAAAGCGUGGGGGAGCGAACAGG